UUCUGUAGGUGAACCUGCGGAGGGAUCAUUACCGAGUUUACAACUCCCAAACCCCUGUGAAUACCUAUACGUUGAACGCCGGAGGGAUCAGCCCGUGCCCCGUAAAACGGGACGGCCCGCCAGAGGACCCCUAAACUCUGUUUUUAGUGGAACUUCUGAGUAAAACAAACAAAUAAAUCAAAACUUUCAACAACGGAUCUCUUGGUACGGGCAUCGAUGAAGAACGCAGCAAAAUGCGAUAAGUAAUGUGAAUUGCAGAAUUCAGUGAAUCAUCGAAUCUUUGAACGCACAUAGCGCCCGCCAGUAUUCUGGCGGGCAUGCCUGUUCGAGCGUCAUUUCAACCCUCAAGCUUAGCUUGGUGUUGGGACUCGCGGUAACCCGCGUUCCCCAAAUCGAUUGGCGGUCACGUCGAGCUUCCAUAGCGUAGUAAUCAUACACCACGUUACUGGUAAUCGUCGCGGCCACGCCUUAAAACCCCCACUUCUGAAUGUUGACCUCGGAUCAGGUAGGAAUACCCGCUGAACUUAAGCAUAUCAGUAAGCGGAGG
rnacentral:rRNA from 1 species